GUUGACGUUGGUAGUUUCAUUCUGAAUCAUGUUUGGACUGGGGGGUGCAGGUGAUUCAGUUGGUUCAAAUUCCUUUUUUCCCAAUUUUGGUGCUCUUUUAUAUAAGAUGGGUCUGACUCUGCAGAAGAGAUGGUAACCCUGAAGCAGUCGUAAGAUUUUGUUUGAAGUCUCAGAUAUCUUUAUCUUUACACAGUUGAGGAGCUAUUUUGCUUUGGAAAACAUGAGUACCCCUGCAAUAAAAUAGAAGCAGCUCUGUGGUAUGUUUGUUUUUAAUCUACAGGGAGUCGUAAACUGAAC
rnacentral:misc_RNA from 1 species